rnacentral:rRNA from 1 species
UGGCGAACGGGUGAAGUAACACGUGGGUAAUCUGCCCUUCACUCUGGGACAAGCCCUGGAAACGGGGUCUAAUACCGGAUAUCACUGCCAUGGGCAUCUGUGGUGGUUGAAAGCUCCGGCGGUGAAGGAUGAGCCCGCGGCCUAUCAGCUUGUUGGUGAGGUAACGGCUCACCAAGGCGACGACGGGUAGCCGGCCUGAGAGGGCGACCGGCCACACUGGGACUGAGACACGGCCCAGACUCCUACGGGAGGCAGCAGUGGGGAAUAUUGCACAAUGGGCGCAAGCCUGAUGCAGCGACGCCGCGUGAGGGAUGACGGCCUUCGGGUUGUAAACCUCUUUCAGCAGGGAAGAAGCGAAAGUGACGGUACCUGCAGAAGAAGCGCCGGCUAACUACGUGCCAGCAGCCGCGGUAAUACGUAGGGCGCAAGCGUUGUCCGGAAUUAUUGGGCGUAAAGAGCUCGUAGGCGGCUUGUCACGUCGGGUGUGAAAGCCCGGGGCUUAACCCCGGGUCUGCAUUCGAUACGGGCAGGCUAGAGUGUGGUAGGGGAGAUCGGAAUUCCUGGUGUAGCGGUGAAAUGCGCAGAUAUCAGAGGAACACCGGUGGCGAAAGSGGAUCUCUGGGCCAUUACUGACGCUGAGGAGCGAAAGCGUGGGGAGCGAACAGGAUUAGAUACCCUGGUAGUCCMCGCCGUAAACGUGGGAACUAGUGUUGGCGACAUUUCACGUCGUCGUGCGCAGCUACGCAUAAGUUCCCSCCUGGGGAGUACGCGCAGCUAAACUCAAGAAUGACGGGCCGCACAGCAGCGGAGCAUGUGCUA